AAUAAUCCACUUGGUUCAGUCGAAAUAUGAGUGCAACGCCUGAUACCAUCGCAUUGUUAACUUAUCAAAAUUAAAUAAUUGAAUUAUCGUCAUCCUUCCUAAAAUUGAUAAUCAAAUUGAUCCCCUCUGGUUUAAAUAUUAUCUGCUUGGUGCGGGUCAUCAGUGCUCAUCUGAACAUUUGCAUUGCAUUCUACAAUUUGAUAACCAAGUUCUGAUUUCAGUGGGAUUCAUGACGAUUAAUGAAUUGUAUGAAGGUACAAACUUGCUCAUUUAGCAAAAUCAGUAUUUGGUUUAUUCUAGAAAUAUGACGAAUCACGUCGGGCUAACGAGAUGACGACUAACGAGCCAUAAUCUUCUGACAUAAUGUGUCGAUGUGUCACCAAAUUUUAAACCAACCCUAAUAGAUCUUGACCAUGAACAUGAUACCGAACAUGAUAAGUACCAGUCUAGGAUGUUGUUGGCUGAAAACAUAUAUAAUAAUUUUCAGCUUUACACUAGAUUAGCAGUGUAAAUUUGUGUAAAUUAACUCCGUCUCCUAUUGCAAACGUGUAAUUUUACAGAUUUAGUCACCAUUAACUUUGCACAUGUCUAUUUUUGCAUAACACAUAUAUCCAUAAAUUCUUCUGGCUGGUUGGUUUUGGUUUUAGCUUUAUACGGCUUGUUCGGUGGUGUGGUAAUUAAGCGCUAUUCCGUCAAGUAUGCAUUUUUAUAUGUACAUAUGUACACACGUAUGCAUGGUUUUGGCAGUGACCUCAUCCACCUAUCCAAUAACUGCAGCAGCAACAAGUAUUAUUGCAAGUAGUCGGUGUUCUGGAGGGGAAGACAGAGUUAUCAGCACUUACAUUACUAAUACUUUUUUUACAUAUCUUAUACCACACAUUUUAUUUCACGUAGCACCACAUUUUCACAAUUUUGAAGAUAGAAUACUCCUUCGUCGUCCCCUCAAGAAGAUUAUUGUUUUGGGAGCGUGCACACCAUUAUGACCGUCGUCACAUAAUGUCAUUAUAUAACGUCUUUUAAUGUACUACCUCAAAAUGGUAUAUGCCCUCAGCGAUCGACAUUGCAUUGCAGUACAUGCUGAGGCGACAAGUAAUAAUACAUAUGUAAAACUUGAACCAACUCUUGAGUCUCACCUCGCCUCAUCCGUUUUGUUAUUGUUGUUUUGUUGCAGUCUACUCGCAGUUAAUUUCUUCUGUGUUUGGAAUGUGGUGCAAAAAAAACUUGAUAUUACAUGAGCAGCAGCAUUAUUAUGCAUAAUCCUUUAAAACCUCGGCCCAGCAUAUACAGAUAUCUGUAGAUGUACGACAGCAAGGGGCACCCCCACACUCACACACCUUUUUUCCCACCCAUCUAUCUCCCUAUUCACCACCGUACGAAGUUUACUUUCUGCUUGGUUACUGCUACCUUCCAAAUCUUCAACUUGACUGAUUUUAACUAUACGCCUGGAUUUGUUUUCUGUAACCUUAUUGCUUUGAUACAUCAUUUGCCUAGAGUCCAGUGGUUGGUUUGGUCGGUGGUAUGUCGUUGUUAUUAUGCAUCGCUCGUAGUGGUACUACAUGACAUUUUGGUUAGUGCGGUGUGGGGAUGUUGGGCUUGGUUCAUUUGUAAAAUGCUUUGAAUCUGGUUUUCCGUACUGCCUGAUGCUAAAUUUCGAUACGUAUUAAUGUACAGGAUCGCCAUCAUCAUCGCGUUGGUUCAUCAUGAGUGGGUGUUCUGUUCAUUCCUUGUCUUCAGUCCUGUUCUAGACGCGCAUCGAGAACUUGUUUGGCAUAGUUUCGAAACAAAAAGUUCAUUUAAUUUUUGAUUUCCGAAUCCGGACACGUUUUUGAAGUAAAACUUUUCUCCCCGUUUACCAAACACACGAGAGAAACACGAUGGCGUUGGAUAAUAAGCAACUUCUUCUCAUCAUCCUGGCAAUCUUCAUCCCACCGCUGGCCGUCUUCCUGAAAAAGGAGACGUGCGACAUGGACGUCAUUAUAAACCUCAUUCUCACAUUGUUCUUCUUCCUCCCCGGAAUUAUUCAUGCGGUUUGGGUCAUUCUCAAGUAGAAGAGAAAGAUCAAAAACAAACCAAAACACCAAAACCAUAACUCAGACCAAAAUUUAAAUUGCCUUUUACACUACUCCUCAAUCGGACAAGAUUCCUGCGCAAAUAUUUAUCACAAUAAACAACAACGGACUAUUUUGACCAGACCAGAAUCUCACCUAUGCGUCGUGGUCAUGACUCUGGGCUUCAUAAACAGCAAAAUCACAUCGCAUGUAUCACACACCACCAACUCUUCUUGAUUUUGGGACUGGUUUUCAUCUCCUCAACUCCUCAUCAUCAACACAUUAUGCGAAAUGAAAAGUAUAAAUUAUGAGAAAAAUACUAAUCCAGGUCCAACUCCAAGUUAUGUAGGUUCAGUUUCAAGUCGAGGAUUUAUUAUACAAGUGCCUUAAAAAUUGAGUGGUCCAGUUUCCGAAUCUGUAUUCCAUUUUUUUCCUCUCUUUCACCAAGUUGCUAGCAUUUUAGGACUUGUAAAAUACUAGGCAGGCAUAAAGCCCCCACUUUUUUUCUGAAUUACAAAUAUUUAUAGCUAAAGUCUACAGUUUUCUAUGAGCUAUCUUAAUUUUUAAUAAAAUUUAUCAGACAAUCACAAAAUAAUACUGCCAUUUACAUAAAUACAUUUUCAACAGAAAUUAUUGCAAUUUAAAUUACAAAGUAGUUUUUCAAUUGUAUUUAAGAUUAAUAAUUAAUUAACUUUCUUUAAAUGCCAUAAGUCUCAAUUGUAUGUUACUUAAAAGUUACGUCAAUGUCACUAUUAAAGUUUAAUACUGUUAUAUAAUAAUUAACUCGUGGUAUGUGCUGUGUUCGUAA